GACGAACGCUGGCGGCGUGCUUAACACAUGCAAGUCACGGGGGCCCGCAAGGGCAACCGGCGAACGGGUGCGUAACACGUGAGCAACCUGCCGAUGUCUGGGGGAUAGCCGGCCCAACGGCCGGGUAAUACCGCAUACGCUCUCUGGUCGGCAUCGACCGGGGAGGAAACCUCCGGGGGACAUCGAGGGGCUCGCGGCCUAUCAGCUAGUUGGUGAGGUCAAGGCUCACCAAGGCGACGACGGGUAGCUGGUCUGAGAGGAUGGCCAGCCACAUUGGGACUGAGAUACGGCCCAGACUCCUACGGGAGGCAGCAGUGGGGAAUCUUGCGCAAUGGCCGAAAGGCUGACGCAGCGACGCCGCGUGUGGGAGGAAGCCCUUCGGGGUGUAAACCACUGUUGCCCGGGACGAAACGCCUUUUUCGAGAGGCUUGACGGUACCGGGUGAGGAAGCACCGGCUAACUCCGUGCCAGCAGCCGCGGUAAUACGGAGGGUGCGAGCGUUGUCCGGAAUCACUGGGCGUAAAGGGCGCGUAGGUGGCGUGGUAAGCGUGCGGUGAAAGCCCGGGGCUCAACUCCGGGUCGGCCGUGCGAACUA
rnacentral:rRNA from 1 species